rnacentral:rRNA from 1 species
AUACGUAGGGUGCAAGCGUUAAUCGGAAUUACUGGGCGUAAAACGUGCGUAGGUGGUUGUUUAAGUCUGUCGUGAAAGCCCUGGGCUCAACCUGGGAAUGGCGAUGGAAACUGGGCGACUAGAGUGUGGCAGAGGGUAGUGGAAUUCCUGGUGUAGCAGUGAAAUGCGUAGAGAUCAGGAGGAGCAUCCGUGGCGAAGGCGACUGCCUGGGCCAACACUGACACUGAGGCACGAAAGCGUGGGGAGCAAACAGGAUUAGAUACCCUGGUAGUCCACGCCCUAAACGAUGCGAACUGGAUGUUGGGUGCAAUUUGGCACGCAGUAUCGAAGCUAACGCGUUAAGUUCGCCGCCUGGGGAGUACGGUCGCAAGACUGAAACUCAAAGGAAUUGACGGGG